UACGGAGGGUGCAAGCGUUAUCCGGAAUCAUUGGGUUUAAAGGGUCCGCAGGCGGUCUUAUAAGUCAGUGGUGAAAGCCUACAGCUCAACUGUAGAACUGCCAUUGAUACUGUAGGACUUGAAUUCGAUCGAAGUGGGCGGAAUAUGACAUGUAGCGGUGAAAUGCUUAGAUAUGUCAUAGAACACCGAUAGCGAAGGCAGCUCACUAGGUCUGGAUUGACGCUCAGGGACGAAAGCGUGGGGAGCAAACAGGAUUAGAUACCCUGGUAGUCCACGCCGUAAACUAUCAAUACUCGUUCUCAGCUCUUUAGGAGUUGGGGACCAAGCGAAAGUGAUAAGUAUUGCACCUGGGGAGUACGAUCGCAAGGUUGAA
rnacentral:rRNA from 1 species